ensembl:lncRNA
UACUGUGAAUAAUUAAAAAACAGGGCUCUAUCCUACUGGUAACCUCUUUCCACCUUGAAAUAAUCCCAUUUACUGGCACUGUUGUGGUCAUGUCUCUUCACCCAAUUUUCAGGCUCGUUUGCCAGCUCUCUGCCUAUUGUGGGUCUGCACUUUAAACACUCACUUUCCUUAUUGAAAUGUUUCCUGACAAGAACACCUGCUGUAUUCUCCCAGCAAACGCUGGGGCCACGGCGUCUCUCCUCUAAUGACACCUCAUCAAUCCGCUCCUAUCAAUGUCCCAGCCAUGGAGGUGACUUCGAGUGCUCAGAAGCCUUAGAAAAUGUCAACGUUUUGGGAGAAAAGGUCAGUCACAGCUUCCCCCCCACCUCCCCUGCCAAGCCACCGUGGGCCUGGCGUUCAUUAUCCUAAUUAAAUCCAGCAGCUGAACAUCUUCUUAUCUGUAGGGGAGGAGAGCAGGGGCAUGAUGCAAUAGGAUUGAUUUGCAUAUCCAAAGUUAAUUAGUGCGGAGGAGCAGGUGUACAGUAAUAAUAAUUAUCACACAUGACAAUCACCUGUGACCACUUCCCUGCGCCCCUUCCGGGAUUCAGCACAGUGAUUGCUGGCUGGUUUUUUCCUUGCUUGAUACCCAUCCUGAGCUGUUUAUGUCCUUGUGCCUCUCUUCACAAACCUGCUGUGAGUAGAUUGUCUGUUCCUUAACAGGCACUGUAUUUUUCUCUAAAGGUAUAUUUUCCCCUGUUUCAUUUGGAGGGAGAGACUAUUGUAAGGCAGCUAUUUUCAAUUUUGUUUGCUGAAGUUGUCACAUCCUGUUGGAGCCUGCGUAUUUAUUUUUAGAUUACAUGUAAGUGGAUAAGGAAAAAAAAUUGCUCAGGAUAUUAAUUUGAAAAUCCCACUUUGCAUCAUUUGAAGAUUCUAUCUUGAGCAUAUGCUGGGAAAUCAGUCUGAUCCAAAAUAAACUUAUUAGGCAAGAGACACAUGAAACCAAGUGACAAUGUGAUGUUUGCCACAAGAUUGUCCAUGCCAGUUUGAAGAGGGCAGAGGGAGCUGAAUACAGAGCCUAAGUCUUCCCAGUCUGUGGACAGUGCAGUAAAAUGCAGGCUUGUGAUGCUCAUUGGACACAAACCUGAAGAAACUGAAAAAGAUUUGGGUGGGUUGUUUAGGAUCUGCAGAAUACAGGGUAAACAAACAAACACUAGAAUGUUACUCCAGCAGGAAGACGUCAGACUAUAGCCUUGAAGCAAAUUCAGUGCAGCUUGCAGGAUGGCUCUCAUGAUGCCUUCAUCGCAGAAAGCUUAGAUAGAUUACACUCUUUGGAUUUAGUUUGCACAUAAAUGCAUGGGGUAUGCAUGUUGAAAAGUGUUUUCUCUGUCAAACGAGGGUAAUUUUUUCAAAUUAAGCCAAAAAGCAUGCCCUGGAAAUUGGAUGUGCCUUCAUAGAAAUGAAUUAUUGCUGUAUAUUAUACAGGAAUUUAACAGUCACAAUGGUAGGCUAAUAAGUAGGUAAGAACAGAAUAUUAAAUACAAAGAAAGUUUUGUGGGUAAAGGGGAGGCAUUAAUGUUAAGUUAGCUAGGAAACUGUGACUGUUUUUAAUUUUUUUUUUCAUUUCGACUUUUGUCUGUUUCACUUUUAUUUGUCAGGGUACACUUUUGCCAAUCAAGUCAAGUAUAACCGGUAGGCCUUCCUUUCACACAGCUUUAAUGAUAAGUGACAGAGACGGCAAAAGGUACUCAACUGCCUGCAGAAUGCAUUAAAAAUUUAAAACUUUACUUAUCAGUCUUUUAUUAAAACUUUCUGUAAUUGUACAAAAUUAUUUCCCCACUGGGUUACUUUUCAAUAUGGAGUGCAAUUAUAUUUCUGACACAAAAUAAUUAUAGUUUAAAAAAGCUAUAAGAAAAAAGUAUUUAUUUUUAAAGCAAAAUCCAUCCAUUUUACAUUCAUGAAGAGUUAUUGCAAUGAAAAAUUAAGCAGUUGCUGAGCCAAAAUUUCAGUUCAGAAUGUUUAAUUUUCAGUACUAGACAGCUAGGUAGAAAUCUCGUCUGUAGAAAUGAAAGGAAUUAUGGCUUAUGGUCAAAGUCUUUCUAGUCCUUGUUUGUUUACUAAGGCAAUACAUUUAUGUAUUAUACCUUUAACCUAUCCAUAUCAGUAGCUAGAAUACUGCAGCUAAAUUCUUUCUAACGGGAUAAAAACCAUUAGUAACUGUGUUUUGGGGAAUUAUCUGUGUUUUUUCUAUAUGCCUAACAUCAUCUUAGGUAACGAUUUUAAAUUCAAGAACUACUAACUCUGGACAGUGGGCUCUGCAUGUGCAGAGCAACAUUCUAAUAAUUUCCAAAUCUUCACUAGUCAUCUUGGUCUUUAUCUAAAAUCCUACUGAGCAAGUUUCCAGAAAAAGAGUUGUCCUAUGUUCAUUCUCCGAAGAGACAGAGAUCAACACAUAUUCUCUUGGGCAUCUUUUGUGUAGAAGUUGCUAGAGUUGAAACCCUGGGAAAUAUGGAGACAAAUUUAUAUUUCAACUAGGGGCUUUUGGAAUCAGCUCAAAUUUCCAUAAAAGCUGACAUAUUACACUUUCUUAGCUCACACCCUGAUGGCACAUUCUUUUUGAAUACAAGGAAUACCUAUUGUGUAUUUAGUAAGCACUCAGCACGGUGUUAGGCAAUUGCAUUUAAAUCCAAAGAUUUUCAAGUCUUGCUCAAAUCUUUUCUUGUCUUCAAUGAACUCACAAUUUAGAAGGAAAAUUAGACAUGUGA